GCACCGCCCCCGCCCCGAGGGGAGCGGGAGGGGCCGGGCCGCGCGGGAAAAGCGCUCCCCGGGAUCUGCCGCCGCCCGCCAACGGGAAAUGUCCGCUCUCGGCCUCAGCUUAGCGACGCAUUCAGGGCUGAGAGCGGAGUUCGUGCCGGGGUCCCGCCGCGGCUGAUUCCACCGCCUUCUCCCCUCUUCCGCGGCGUUUCACAGAAGGGCUCAGGUUGAAAGGGGCCACAGUGAGUCAUCUGAGCCAACCUCGCUCAUAGCACAGGAUUGCAUCCAGACAGCUCCUGAAUUUCUGCAGUGAAAUUUCCUGUGCAUCGGUUUCUGCCCGCUCCCUUUUAACGUACCGCUUUGGCACCUCCGAGCACAGCUUGGCUUCGUCCUCCAGACACUUCGCCCCAGGGACAAAACUCACCCACGCUGAACCUCCCCCAAGGGACGGCUUGAGGGAGAAUGUUCCUUAUCCCUGACGAGGAACAGCGAGGAGAACACAGCAGGAAAAAGGGCAUCGGGAGGUCUGCGGUGCACCCCCAGGCUGCCACUAGUGAAUGGGUUUGUGUAAGCAAGAGGAGAUGGAGUUUUUUCAUCGCUCCAGUGUUGGUAAGGAGGUAUGGGGGGGAAAGCUUGAACACGGCUUUUACUUCCUCAAAACAUGAGGAAGAGUGCAUUCCUACUACAAAGGUAAAAUACAUAAAAAUGUUUUUUAAAAAAUACUACUGAAAGUUGAGAAAAACCUAGUUUUGCAUUUUAUUUUUAGCAUCAAUGGGCCAUGGGUAGGAUGAAGCUGAGUAGUGCAGAAAAUCACAAGCAGCUUGCCUAUGUGCAAGUCAGUAAAAAUGUUACUCAGGAUAGAGCCCUGAUGCACCACACAUCCCUUCCACCACAAGAAAAAGCAUUUAUCCCAGCACACACCUGAAGAAAGGGUGUGUGAACUGGGAGAGUAUUUUGGGGAGUUCAAACAAAGGUGGACUCUGAAGGCCUGCAGUAAACAGGCAGCAGCUAGAGAGGAACAGCUAUAAGAAGAAAUGGUACUGGGGAAUUUUGUGCUGCCUCAUCUCUGCUUCAUACUGGCUUUUUUUUUAACUUCAUCAGGGUCUUCCCAGCUCUCUUACAUGGCUUAACUCCUCAAUUUCUUUGUCCCAUUUUCAUUACCUACAGGAGAUAAUUAUCUAAUACUCAGCAGGGUGGAACUCCUCCUCAUAAACUACACUCACCUGCCCCACAAUUGUGAAUACAAUUUUAGAUGUAGGGGGAUGACUGCAGUGAUAGACAAUCCCCUAUCCAGGUACAUGCAUGUUUGAAGUCACCUGCAAGAACCACCUCAUUUUGUGUAAAUGGCUGGUGUGCUACUGCUGCUGACUAAUUUUACGAUGAUAGUCUGUUUCUACAACAUCAAGAUCUACAUCAAUAUAAUUAUCAAAACAUUAAAAAUUACAUUUUAGCCUGGAUUUGUAACUCAUUUUGCCCAGGAAGCAAUUACCAUACUAGCUUUCAGCUUAAGAGGGGAAGGAAGGCAAGGAUAAUGUGCUUCCAUUAUGCAAAGAGCGACAUUUACAGAGGGAUGGAAACUCUGUCCACUAGUAACAAACAUUCAUUAGUAACAAUGCUAGCUUCUAAAAUGGUACCUGUGCGGGGAACUGACUAAAACCAUUCCUGUGCUGGUCAUGUAGGAGCUGGGCAAAUAUAAAACAAGCUUCCCUCUUUAUGCAUGCUAAGAAUAUUAAGGUAAGCUGUAAACACAAUUUUCUCUUCCACAUACAUGUCAAAUGCAGCUACGCUACGUUUGCUCUGUAAAUUCAAGUGCUGCUUUAUUUACUUAUUUAGAACAAUUUCCAUAUGGUGACAUACCUUUAAAGAAACUCAUGACUCAGAAAUACUUGUUGAUGUAGUCAAACAACGUCUAUUGACAUGAGUCACUGAAGUUAAAUAAAUGUCAUUAAAAAUGAGACGAAACAAAAGGCAAAUAUAUAUGUAUCUCCAGCAGAAUGAUAGUGAUCAUCACCAUUUGAUCAAUCUUCCCUGUGAGUUAUAUCUGCAAGUUACUUUGAGGUAGCGCUAGAAAGAAGCUGUUGGUCCAAGAGCAUCCCUGCAAAAAGAAACAUUCACGGCUUAAGUACCAUUUAACCUUACACUUUUCAGUCUUCACUGGUUUUUAGCCUGUUUCUUUCUCCCUGUUCACUGACUGCAGGAUCGUUAGCCCCUCAAACCAUGGUACUAAAGUUCUUCUGUUCAGAUAAGUGGAAACAAAAACAUUACUCUUCUUCAAGAAAUAAGUGGGUUUUAGGUAAAGGCACUAUCACAGCUAGGUACAAUGAAGAGUUUAUAAAACCAAUACUAGAUAUUCUUUAAAAAAAACCCUUCAUCAGACUUAAAAAUCCCAUCAACAUUUCAGCUGGGUAAAACAGACAAAACACAACCAAAGUGAAAUAGGAUGGUGUUGAAAACAUUGCUCCCAAUACUUUUUUUUUUAAAUGUUUCUACUGCAAUCAGCUCUUUGUAGAACUGAGGGCAGGCAUCGGCAUCACGAACAUGUUCAGGUCUUUGUGUAAGCUCACUAAUGCAGACAGUAGUUGGACCAAUGCUGGAAGUUUCCUCAGAUAAAAUGAAUGCCAGCAGAUCUGAUGCACUCACUUUUUCCCAAGAUUUGUGCUUACACACCAAUACAGAAAAGUUUUCAGUGUGCCUUUACAGUAAAGAAUGUGUACUGCAGAGAGUAUCUUGAUCCCAUAUAUGCACUCCUAACUGGUAAGCAGUAUAAACUAGAAAGGCUCAGAAGACAGAAAACAAAGUCAGAGAGGUAUUUAAAACAGUAUCACAAGGGCUGCAACCAGCAGACUCCCUUCUUUACCUCACUUUUCUUCUGUGCUGACUAAAGAAAAUCUAUUCCCCAACAUUUCUCAGGUUUGGAGAACUAAUGGCCCAAACAACCUCUUUCACUGCAUUUCAUAAACAGUAUUUUCAUUAUAUGGAUACUUUACAGGCCAGAACAGAAGGUGCAUGUCUGAAAACAGUCUCUAAUGCAGAGUGCAGAGACUUUGCUAACAUGUAAAAUCUGCAUAAAUAUGGUGACUACAGACUCUGGGGUUUAUGAGCUGUGGUGAUACAGUGCUGAUCUAAGGGAAAUCAUACAACUACAUGGGCUUCUCAUUAUAUAGUUCACAAAUAAAUCAACCUCCCAAAAGCUAAAAAAAAA